AUACGGAGGCUGCGAGCGUUAUCCGGAUUUAUUGGGUCUAAAGGGUCCGUAGCCGGUUUGGUCAGUCCUCCGGGAAAUCUGAUAGCUCAACUAUUAGGCUUUCGGGGGAUACUGCCAGACUUGGAACCGGGAGAGGUAAGAGGUACUAUGGGGGUAGGAGUGACAUCUUGUAAUCCCUGUGGGACCACCUGUGGCGAAGGCGUCUUACCAGAACGGGUUCGACGGUGAGGGACGAAAGCUGGGGGCACGAACCGGAUUAGAUACCCGGGUAGUCCCAGCCGUAAACGAUGCUCGCUAGGUGUCAGGCAUGGCGCGACCGUGUCUGGUGCUGCAGGGAAGCCGUGAAGCGAGCCACCUGGGAAGUACGGCCGCAAGGCUGAAACUUAAAUGAAUUGGCGGGG
rnacentral:rRNA from 1 species